rnacentral:rRNA from 1 species
UGACCUGGCGGCAGGCUUACACAUGCAAGUCGAACGGUAACGGGAAGAAGCUUGCUUCUUUGCCGACGAGUGGCGGACGGGUGAGUAAUGCUUGGGAAUCCGGCUUAUGGAGGGGGAUAACUACGGGAAACUGUAGCUAAUACCGCGUAAAAUCUUCGGAUUAAAGGGUGGGACUUUCGGGCCACCUGCCAUAAGAUGUGCCCAAGUGGGAUUAGGUAGUUGGUUGGGUAAAGGCUGACCAAGCCGACGAUCUCUAGCUGGUCUGAGAGGAUGACCAGCCACACCGGGACUGAGACACGGCCCGGACUCCUACGGGAGGCAGCAGUGGGGAAUAUUGCACAAUGGGGGGAACCCUGAUGCAGCCAUGCCGCGUGAAUGAAGAAGGCCUUCGGGUUGUAAAGUUCUUUCGGUGACGAGGAAGGCAGGCAUUUUAAUAGAAUGCCUGAUUGACGUUAAUCACAGAAGAAGCACCGGCUAACUCCGUGCCAGCAGCCGCGGUAAU